rnacentral:rRNA from 1 species
UGUGACGUUACCUAAACCGUUGCUUCGGCGGGCGGCCCGGGUCCUUCCCGGCGCCCCUCGGCCCUCGCGGGCGCCCGCCGGAGGAAAACCAAACUAUUGCAUUGUAUGGCCUCUCUGAGUCUUCUGUACUGAAUAAGUCAAAACUUUCAACAACGGAUCUCUUGGUUCUGGCAUCGAUGAAGAACGCAGCGAAAUGCGAUAAGUAAUGUGAAUUGCAGAAUUCAGUGAAUCAUCGAAUCUUUGAACGCACAUUGCGCCCGCCAGUAUUCUGGCGGGCAUGCCUGUUCGAGCGUCAUUUCAACCAUCAAGCCCCGGGCUUGUGUUGGGGACCUGCGGCUGCCGCAGGCCCUGAAAUGCAGUGGCGGGCUCGCUGUCACUCCGAGCGUAGUAGUUACAUCUCGCUCUGGGCGUGCUGCGGGUUCCGGCCGUUAAAAGCCUUAUUUACCCAAGGUUGACCUCGGAUCAGGUAGGAAGACCCGCUGAACUUAAGCAUAUCAAUAAGC